CACACUAAUUCUAGCCAAUUCCAAUCUCUUUUCCAAAACACUUUUAAGUGGAAUGUCUGGGAAGGCAAACAGAACUAAUUCUACAGAACUAUUAAAAACUGAUCUUUAUUUAGAAAAUUUCCCCUUUGUAUGUUGUCUCUGUUGUAUUCCUUAGGUGACAAAAAUCCUGAGUUACUUGGGCCUAAUUCAGUGUGAUCCCUCCAAUGGCACCAGGGUUAUAGUAAGCAAUAACAUUCUUUUUUUUUUAAACAUUUUAUUUUAGUUGUCAGUGGACCUUAAUUUUAUUUAUUUACAUGUGGUACUGAGAAUUGAGCCUAGGGCUUCACACAUACUAGGCAAGUGUUCUAUACCACUGAACUACAACCCCAGCUUUCUGCCAUAACAUACUUCCCGUUCAAUGUUGACAUGUUACAGAAGAUACUCCUCAUUUGAGAGUGAUGCUUUAAGCAGCCUGUGAAAAUGCUUUACUAUAGCAAGGGGAUAAAUAAAAAUAUAGUUAUUAAUAAGGAAGUUAGCACAUGAAGAUUAUAAUUUAACAAACACUUUUGGAGUGCUUGGCAGAGUGUUAAGUGCUAGGAAUAAGAAAUACACAUGCCGUGUACCCCUACCUUCAGGGGAAGAUUUGCCAUAAAAUCAGGGCACAUGGUUGGUUGUACACACUCAACAGUGUGGAAACGCAGGAGAACAAUGAAAGCAGAGAUGUGAGAUGUGUACUCAGUUGUUUGAGGUCUAGGGAGGAAUUCAUUGGAUAAAAAAGAGAUAAAGAUAUGGCAGAGAGAGACAGUGUGAAGCAUUUGGGUGGAGGAGUGUGUACAUGGGGUUAUCAGGAGAUGAGUCUGGAGGGAAGCAGAAGCUGUACAUUUUCCAAAGCAGGUUCAGGGCCUCUUUUCAUCAGAUCAUCCACUGAACCCUCAUUUCCAGGGGAAUUUGCAUUUUAACAAGCACCUCAGUAAUGCUCUUGUUCACUUACAUAUGAAAAAUAUCAGAACAUUUCUUUAUUCUUCAAUGUGAUUAGAGAUCAAAUUAGAAAAAAACUGAGCAUGCAUCAAAUUUCUGGAAGCUGGCAACUUCUUUUGGCUGGCUGCAAAUUCUGGGUGUGUGGCCAGUGGGAGGACAGAAACACCAGGAGUUGGACAGACGUAGGCCGAUGUACGUGGAACUCAAACUUCACCUUCAGUCCCCAUUUUAUUAAGGGUCAACCCUGAGGUCCUCUCAUCACAAACCAGGGAACAAUGGUUCACUCUUUUGUGAAUAAAGAGAGCAAGUUUCUUCUCCUUUUGAAGGGGGUGAAAUCAAUGCAAGGAAGUGAAAACAGAGAUGACAAAAGCAGUGACACAAUACACUAUUCAAUGUGAUGUAAUCUCUCUUCCUUCCCCUGGAUUGCUUCAGUUGGGAAGAUGUCCCUAUGGAAGAAACGCUGUACCUGUUAGGCUGGGCUCCUGUCUCCUUGACAUCCCUUUAGAUUCAGUUUCCUUCUUUGUAAAAGAAAAGUAUUAUACAAGAUGCUGUCAUAAGGGUCUCUGAACUCUGACACUUUAGGGUUCUAUAUGUUGUAUUGAAUCUUGCUGCAAAAUAUGCUGAGCAUAACUUAACUCUUCUUCUGUUUUUAAGUUAACUCUUUCCUAUCAAAUACUAAAUUGUCCUGUAUUAUGCAGAUGCUCUUGGGGAUAGUCAAGCCCUUUGUCCCCACAUUAAAUGGCUCAGGUUGCUAUUUAGUUAUAGUUCCUCUGCCCUCCUCCAACUUUGAAAAAUAACUUUUCCAUUUCCUUCUUUUCUGUUAGACUGUCAGUUGUUACUUCUUGUUGUUGUCGUGGUGCUUACCUGGAGCAGUCAGACCACCUCUUUUCUAAAUUGCUGCUUCUGACACAGGAUGUUUAAAUUGUUAGAGUGAGUCUAGAAUUAAGAGGAAAUGGUCUUUGAAGGAAGGCCUGAAGAACUCUGUCAUGAGGAGAGUAGAGAGUGUGCAUUAAGUAUGAGGACCUAAUGAUAUUUUCUUGGAAGCCUGGAGACGUUGUGUUAGCUUCUGAGUUCUUGGGUAUUGAGUUUGCACAUGUAGAUUGUGUUGAUCUACUAGUUUUGGGUGAAGAAGUGAUUAGGAGGCAACUAAUUUCUCUUUUUGAUGUAGCUUUAUCUAAUAAUCCCUGUAUACUAUGAGCUUAUUCUCUCUACCCAUUUGAACCUCCUAAAAACGUUCAAGGCUCAUAAAUAGAAUUUUUUUUCCAAGUGAUGCUUUGAAACAGCAUUGAUUUGACUGUAGAUUUAAUUUGGAGAGCCAGUGAGUAUUGUGGAGUUUGUGCGAUCAAAUAUUCCUUUCAUAAUAUUCGAUCUGCUAAACUAAAUGUAAAAACACCCAAUUCACCAUUAGACCCCACUUGUUGAGGGUAAUUUAGUUGAAAGCCAAGUCUUCCAUAGGUCUUGGGAAGGGACCAGUCCUUUGCUGUCCUGAGUCAGAGGAAGAGGACCUGAUUGUGCAUGGUUUAAGCAGUCUUUGAACCUCAGUCAUUCAUUUUACAAGGUCCUGAGGGGAACCUGGUGACUAUAGCAUGGGGAGAACAGGGAGAAGGUCAAUCAGCCAGUAACCAUAGAACACAAUUUCUGUUUCAAGAAAUUCUUCUUUAGACACAUCUUAAGUGCUCUUCUAGUGUUUUCAAUUCUUUCUGAUUUGUUUGUAUGCAGGAAUCCAGGCUUCCAGUGGGUGGACACCAGAGAUUAUCUAACUGGGCAUUGAAGCUUAAUGGAGAAGUGAAAGUUUACAAGCCCCAAUAUCCUCGAUAAAACUGGAAAUUUUGUCAGUCAAUCAACCAUUUAAAAAUAGCUGAUGCAUGAGAGAGAUACAUUUAAAAAUAUCCUUCUAAUUUCAAUAAAAAAUAAAAACUAUGGAAAGGGAAACCUGAUUUUCUUCUUAGAUUACCAAGUAACUGAAUGUCCAAGACUAGGUUUCUUACCGCUCAUGUGGGUGAAAUGAAGAGACCUACUCGAUAAGCUUUAGAGUCUUUUCUAUAGUGCAUCCUCCUUGGGUUUCACGACUAGAGUCAACUUUUAAUCAUCUGGGCCAAUGGGGGAACCCUAUAGAAAAUACUGCCAAGCUGUGGUUACCAACAAAGGCAGAACUUUCUCCUAGGGGGGAUUUUGGAAAUCUUUGGGUGCAACUAUGAUUCUCACAAUGAUUGUGGUCACUUGUGGCAUUAAAUGGUCAGGGGCCUGGGCUGCUAGACAUUCUGCGAAUAAUGUCCCAGAGCAUAAAGCACUGUCUUAUGUUUUUACAUGACUUCUGAAGGUUCCAAUGGAUAUUCAUUUAAGUACUCAUCUUUUCACAGUUUCUGAACCUGGAAGUAUCUCUAUUUACAUAUAAACUUUUUUUUUUUUUAGCAUGGUUUUAUAUGCAUUUUCUAGGACUGUAACAACAGGGUCAAUUGAGGGACAGCUGGAACUUAUUUUCUUUGGAAUUUAUCAAGACUUGGUCAUCAUUUUGGAAAACAACAUUGUCAACACAACAUCACUCACAGUCUCUGAGCAUCACAUAUACACCCAGUUGCUCACUCUCAAGGAGCAGGCAGUGCCCAUUUCUACUGCAGAUGAAAGCGACACGGACAGAGACAACAGAAGCUCCUGCGUGGGGAUGAGGCCAUCAUCUAUUUCCUUGAGAACAUGAUGGGCAGGUUAAAGAACUCACAUGAUGGUUGGCUGUUCUGCUGCCCAGCUGAGACUGAGUCAUCAUUGAGGGGAUGCAGGAAGCAGAGGCAGAGCUGGCCCAGCAGAGGAGGCCAAGUGUUGAUGGGGAGCGCUGGGGCAAGUUACAGGAGGAUGCUGACCCACCAGCUUCUUAUCUGAGUCUGUUGGAAGGAACCACCGAACCACGUCCACCUUUCGGCUAGAAGAAGUCACAUGGCCUUGGAGAUCUCAAGCGCCGACAAGCAAAGGGACCGGUGCCAGGUGAGGCUCAUGCAGCUGGAGGAGGGCUGCACGGACACCACUACCCCACUCCACCUCUCCAGGGGCUUUCUUGGCAUCAGUUUGGCUACAGGCAUACAGAGGCAUCUGUUUUUCUUCCUCUGCUCCUCUGCCCGCCCCCCCAUCCUUUACCAAGCAGAGUGACUCCUGCCAGUUGAGAGAGAAGAGGCCAUUGAAGUCAGGUGUGAAGCCAAAGAGAGAAGCAGUCUUUGGAGUUGGGCUUUUCUCAAACAUGAUUUAGACAACAUGGUUCAACACUAGCCAACAUAGCAACAAAUUCUACAAGCUGAUUCUACAAGCUGUGAAAUGCUCUUUUUCUUACACAACGUCCACAGUUUAAUCUCCUGAUUUGAUUAUUUCUAGCCUUUCUUUCUCUCUCCACCCUCUCUGCUUACCCCCUCCCCCAUGUCCCACUCGCUGUUGUUGUAACUUCUGUCAUUCUGCCAAUCAUAGCCAGGUUUGGUGGCUCCCACUGCUGUGGCUUAAAGCCUAAUCUCCUUAGCUCAGCAUUCAGUCUAGGAGAGUUGAGUUUCAUCCAUCUUAUAGCCAUUGAGCUUGUAAUGAACGGCUUCUCUAAAAUAUGCAAAGAGCUAAGCCAUAAACAAACUCAGGUAAGAACCAGUCUAUAUAGUUUUUUUUUUUUUUAACCUGAGACUUUUGCCUUAACAUUUAAAGCAAAGUAGAAAUAGACCAAUCUGAGUUAUGGGAUGCAGUCGCACCAUGAGUUACACCUUGAACAUUCCACUCUCCACCAAUGUUGCCCUACUUUUUACUAAAAAUUGGCCCUGUAUACAUGCUGAGCUGUAAGUUUUGGCUGGUAAACAUAUCACAUUUUCAAAGAAUAGUGGUUUCCUCUAGAUUUUUGUUUGUCUUUGGACUUGGUCUUAUGCUAGGUAAGUCUUGAUGUCCCUCUGAAGAUGAGAAAAAUCACCUUCAAAUUCUAAAUGUAGUUCACUGUACAUAAACUAGGCCUCUAGGCUUGGUGCAGGUGCAGUCUUUUAGUUAAUGGCUUCGUAGGGAUGUCUCUUGCAUGUGAUUCCUGGAAAUUAGGGACAAAUUCAAUGAUUCAGAACUGAAAAAGAGCUGGCUGCUUAUUUAGGUGUACUUCUUACUCCUAAGCCCAAGACACUGGUAAAGCUUAGGGGCAAUGAGAUGUAUUUUCACUUCCUGCCCAGCAAAUACCCCCACACUUUCCAUCCUGAUUUUCCCUUUCAAUGAAAAGUACUUUAAAAAAUCUGCAAUUUCUCUCCCCUUCUUUUUUGGUUCACAUAAUUUUCUUUACUCUGUCACUCAAUCUUCCUGCCACACACUCCAGUCCAUCAGCAAGAUUAAACUUUAGAAUUCUCUUAAGCUGAAUUAAAUGACCUUUCAAGUUACUUGCCUUCUUUUCAAAUCCUCCCUUCUGUUUUACUUAAUAAAUAUCUCUUCUGCCAUCAGUUCU